UAGGGAAUCUUCCGCAAUGGGCGAAAGCCUGCCGGAGCAACGCCGCGUGAGUGAUGAAGGUCUUCGGAUCGUAAAACUCUGUUAUUAGGGAAGAACAAAUGUGUAAGUAACUAUGCACGUCUUGACGGUACCUAAUCAGAAAGCCACGGCUAACUACGUGCCAGCAGCCGCGGUAAUACGUAGGUGGCAAGCGUUAUCCGGAAUUAUUGGGCGUAAAGCGCGCGUAGGCGGUUUUUUAAGUCUGAUGUGAAAGCCCACGGCUCAACCGUGGAGGGUCAUUGGAAACUGGGAAACUUGAGUGCAGAAGAGGAAAGUGGAAUUCCAUGUGUAGCGGUGAAAUGCGCAGAGAUAUGGAGGAACACCAGUGGCGAAGGCGACUUUCUGGUCUGUAACUGACGCUGAUGUGCGAAAGCGUGGGGAUCAAACAGG
rnacentral:rRNA from 1 species